rnacentral:rRNA from 1 species
GACGAACGCUGGCGGCGUGCUUAACACAUGCAAGUCGAGCGGAGCGGCGAACGGGUGAGUAACGCGUGAGUGACCUGCCCUGCACUUCGGGAUAAGCCUGGGAAACUGGGUCUAAUACCGGAUAGUGUGGGAUGGGCCCGCGGCAUAGCAGCUUGUUGGUGGGGUAAUGGCCUACCAAGGCGGCGACGGGUAGCCGGCCUGAGAGGGUGGACGGCCACAUUGGGACUGAGACACGGCCCAGAGUCCUACGGGAGGCAGCAGUGGGGAAUAUUGCGCAAUGGGCGGAAGCCUGAUGCAGCGGCGCCGGGUGGGGGAUGACGGCCUUCGGGUUGUAAACUCCUUUCACCAUCGACGCGGUAGAUGGAGAAGAAGCACCGGCUAACUACGUGCCAGCCGCCGCGGUAAUAC